GACGUAGGGGGCAAGCGUUGUUCGGAAUUAUUGGGCGUAAAGCGCUCGUAGGCGGGACAGGAAGUUCGUGUUGAAAGACCUCGGCUCAACUGAGGGACCGGCUCGAAUACUCUUGUUCUUGAGGCAAUCAGAGGGUGAUGGAAUUCCCGGUGUAGCGGUGAAAUGCGUAGAGAUCGGGAAGAACACCAGUGGCGAAGGCGGCCGGCUGGGGGUGUCCUGACGCUGAGGCGCGAGAGCGUGGGGAGCAAACCGG
rnacentral:rRNA from 1 species